rnacentral:rRNA from 1 species
UACGUAGGGGGCAAGCGUUGUCCGGAUUUAUUGGGCGUAAAGAGCGUGUAGGCGGUCAGGUAGGUCAGUUGUGAAAACUGGAGGCUCAACCUUCAGACGUCGACUGAAACCCUCUGGCUAGAGUCCGGGAGAGGAGAGUGGAAUUCCUGGUGUAGCGGUGGAAUGCGCAGAUAUCAGGAAGAACACCCGUGGCGAAAGCGGCUCUCUGGAACGGUACUGACGCUGAGACGCGAAAGCGUGGGGAGCGAACAGG